rnacentral:sRNA from 1 species
UGUUGGUGAACAGUAGCAAAAUCUGGAGUAACUGUGCCUGGAAUUUUUUGGCCCCAAGUCUAAACAAAGGAAUAGUUUCCAGAUAAGCGCUGUUUGCAUAGGUGGUGGUCUGUCACGUGGUGGGCCAGGCUAUUCAGUUCUUGGUCAGCGAGACGCCUGCCUUGGGUGCUGGAUGCCGGCUGUACGACGUGCGGCUCUCCCCUUUCCAUUUACAGCUGGAGUUCCACAUGAAGGAGAAGAGAGAGGACCUCCAGAUUAGCUGGUCUUUCAUCAGUGUGCCGGAAAUGGCCGUUAAUAUCCAGCCCAAAGCACUGGGGGAGGACCAGGUGGCUGAGACAAGUGCGAUGUCUGACGCUCUCAAGGACAUCUUGAAGCAUUUGGUUGGUUCUGCCUCUCCAUCAGUGGUUCUGAUCAUCAAGCCCACGACUGUAAAGGAAGCUCAGAACUUACAGUGUGCUGCAUCUACUGCUCAGGAAUCCUGUCCUCCUAAACCUCCAAGGGCUCACGAGCUAAAGCUACUGGUGAGGAACAUCCAUGCCUUGCUGCUCAGUGAGCCCGGUGCCUCAGGCCACAUUAAUGCAGUGUGCGUAGUGCAGCUGAACGAUCCUGUUCAGAGGUUCUCCAGCACCCUGACGAAAAACACUCCGGACCUCACGUGGCAAGAGGAAUUCACCUUCGAGUUGAAUGCCAAGUCGAAGGAGUUACACCUGCAGAUUUCAGAGGCUGGGCGAUCCUCACAAGGUCUGCUGGCGACGGCGACAGUUCCUCUGGACUUAUUUAAGAAGCAGCCUUCUGGGCCACAGAGCUUCACGCUGACCAGCGGGUCUGCCUGCGGCAGCUCGGUGCUGGGCUCGGUCACGGCAGAGUUCUCUUACAUAGAACCUGGUGAGUUGAAAUCCUGGCCCAUCCCUCCCCCUGUUCCUGCUGCAAAAAUAGAAAAGGACCGCACAGUGAUGCCCUGUGGGACUGUGGUCACUACUGUCACUGCUGUGAAGACCAAGCCUCGCGUCGACGUGGGGAGGGCGUCCCCGCUGAGCUCUGAUUCUCCGGUGAAGACUCCCAUCAAGGUGAAGGUGAUCGAGAAGGACAUCUCUGUCCAGGCCAUCGCCUGCCGCAGCGCCCCCGUCAGCAAAACACUCUCUUCUUCAGACACAGAAUUGUUGGUGUUGAAUGGUUCGGAUCCAGUGGCAGAAGUGGCCAUUCGACAGCUCAGUGAAUCUUCAAAGCUGAAACUCAAGUCGCCACGGAAGAAAAGCACUAUUAUCAUAUCAGGGAUCUCCAAGGUACCAUCGUGGUGGCUGGGGAGGUGUUCAUCUGGUCAUCUGUCAGUGACCUGCUGCUCCUCUGCCCUUUGAAGAAGUUAGCCCAAGCACUUGGUUAACGUCCAGAGAGUUCCAUUUACAAAUGUCAAAUUAUGUUCCUCACCCCACAAAGGAGUCAUGUGUGGUGUUGUGUUUACACAGUUUAUCCUAUUCACCAAGGACACGGGAGACUUUCUAAUCGGGGACGCUUUACACGUUGAGAGGUUGGCAAAUCAUUUCAAGAAAAAUUAUCGAAAGAGAGGAACAUGAUGUAAGACUCCCCUUUGGUACAGAACCUCUGCUCUCGUCACCACCCAGUCACGGGGAACUUUCACUUUCCACGUGACACGUUUCCAAAGCCUUUUACUUUUUUGCAGUGAAUGUUUAUUCCUUUUGUAAUCAGAGAGAAAUGAACAUUGUAGUGUCCCCCGUGGACACUGCACUCCCUUUCUCCCCCUUCUCCCACUCUGGGACGUCUGCUCAGAGCAGGUGGUGGCGAGUGUGUGGUUUCAGCUGCGGAGAGGCCAGCCCCUCAGGUAAAGGGCCAUGUUACAGAUCCUUACUCUUUUUAUUACAUGUUUUAAAAUUGAUUUUAAAAUUUUUAUCUAUCUAUUUAUUUAUUUUGAGACCAGCUAAUUUGUUAUGAGACUG